GAGAAGGAGACGGGACCGCAUGUAAGUCGCGUGCUGCGCGUUAGCCCGAAGGCAAAACACGUGAUUUGACUUUCGCGCUCGCGCGUUCAACCGUAGCGAUACCCGUGCGCGCGCGCGAGCGUUUUAAUUAUAGACCCAAGCCCUUCUUUUCUCUCUCGGUCCUCUUUUUCCUCAUCUUCUCGCGUCCACCCUCGACACCGCGAAAUCGGCGAGGCAGACCGACGCGCGUCUACCGCGCGGAGCACGCGCUCGUUUCUACGACGACGUCAACAACAACGAGGGUGUAGCAUCAAAAGUGCCAAAGAUUACUUCCAACGCUUGCCUUUUUUUUCUCUUCCCUACGAGAGCCCUUACGAUUCCGAUCGUGAGCUCGAAAACGUUGCUGGCUUAACAACGAGGCGAACAGUUUAUCAGGACAACUCCGUAAGCCACCGUAGAAGCCGACACUUUAAUGGACUCGCCGAGGAAGCGAGUAAGGACGUUGUACUUGGCGCGUCAGGAAGUCGAUGGGAAACAUGAAUGCACAUAGAGACAUGUGUGCACGUAUAGACCGAAGCGCAGGGACGGAAAGACCCCGAAGCGAUCUUCGUGUUUACAUUUUGAAGAACGUGUAAAAACAGCCGCCCAGCAUCUGCCCUAGGUCCAAGCGAUUCAACGGCACGGCACGCCACGCCACGCGCCUGGCUUUACGGAAGUGUUUAGAGUACAUAUUUGAAAUAUAUGCGUCUUUGCGAUCAAACGAUUCACCGAUGCGUUGCUCGUCCCUCGAUAAUCCAUCAUUCCACGAAUUUGUUACGCCGACGAUAAUAAGCUUAAAAAAUAGGUCUUUCUUUUCUUUUAAUUUUUAUUAUUGAGGCGCAACAGUUCGAUUGGAUCAUACAUAAUUACGUGGCGCCGUUAUCGUUCCUAUUUGAAAAAAUAUUUUUAUUAUAUACAUCCUUUAUUGCAUCUUUUGUAAAUUAUUCUAUAUUAUAAAUACAUCGAGAUUGAUAUAAAUGGUUAUUAUUCAUAUCAAAAUAAUAAAUUAAUUAAUUAAAAUGAUAAACUCGGAGAAAGAACGACGAAACCUACUCAAUUUUUAAUAUCGUCCGAUAUCCAAUGCGAGUGAAUAUGCGAAUAAAUAUAAAUAUACAUUCACUAAUUGCGAAUGGACGCGCUAAUACCGAAGUACUUAAACAGUUAUAUUACCGCAUGAUAUAUCCAUGCAAUGUCCCACCUGUCCCGACAAAAGUUCACCAAAUUUGGUCAGAUUGACCAGUUCUCGGAUCUUUAAUAAAAUCGAGGAGAUAUAGAAAAGGAAUUCAUGGAAGGUACGUCACGAGCGCACACACGCUCAUACGCGCGCGCACACACAUACACUCUCACUCUCUCUUUACUGUUAUAAAGGAAAUUAAUAUUAUACUUUCUUACGAUCGCGUGAACACGAACACACUUUUAUUGAGUUUAUCAUUGCGAAACGAAACUUAUGAUGCGUACAGAUACAACAUUCAUGAUGAUUUCCGCCAUUUCUCUUUUAAUAUCAUUAUGACGAUUUCAACGAUCGUUUAACGCAAAAUAACAACGUAUUUUUUUAUAGAGGGAAUAGAAA